rnacentral:rRNA from 2 species
GACGUAGGGCGCGAGCGUUGUCCGGAUUUAUUGGGCGUAAAGAGCUCGUAGGCGGCUUGUCGCGUCGGCUGUGAAAUCCCGUGGCUCAACUGCGGGUCUGCAGCCGAUACGGGCAGGCUAGAGUUCGGUAGGGGAGACUGGAAUUCCUGGUGUAGCGGUGAAAUGCGCAGAUAUCAGGAGGAACACCGAUGGCGAAGGCAGGUCUCUGGGCCGAUACUGACGCUGAGGAGCGAAAGCGUGGGGAGCGAACAGG